rnacentral:lncRNA from 1 species
CCAAGCUCCUAACAGUGCUUUUUAUUUUCCUCCUACUACAUAGACAGUGUCAUCUUCCUUCCCUAAAUAUUAUUCUUACAGGAGCAAAAAUCUUACAAAAUCUCAAUAUAUGGAAGAUUUGAGUGCAGGAGGAUAUGGACAAGUGUGUAAAAUGGAAAAGGAAAGGAAAAACUGAGGGCAUUUGUACAUUCAGCAGCACCACAGGCAAGGUGUGAGGUUUUUCUUUGCAAACACUGCAGAAUGAGCUGGAUGGAGGGGAGGAUGCUGCCCUAGCCAUGGAUUAUUUUGCAGCUUCCUAAAGGCUUUCAAAGAACACUAUUGCUGCCAGCCCCAGCCCCUGCAGCCCUGCCUGGGAGUCCUGAUGCCUGUCCAUGAAGAUCUGCUCAUUCAUCUGCUGCCUCUUGAGGAGCCUGACCUCAGGUCUUGGAGGAUGCUCUCCUGGUGAGUCCAUGCUCUGCUUUUAGGCACUCUGCACUCCUGCUCUGUGUGCACUGCUCGCAGCUUCCUUU